GGACCCGCACAAGUAGUGGAGCAUGUGGUUUAAUUCGAAGAUACGCGCAGAACCUUACCAACACUUGACAUGUUCGUCGCGACUCUAAGAGAUUAGAGUUUUCGGUUCGGCCGGACGAAACACAGGUGCUGCAUGGCUGUCGUCAGCUCGUGUCGUGAGAUGUUGGGUUAAGUCCCGCAACGAGCGCAACCCUCACUUUUAGUUGCCAUCAUUUAGUUGGGCACUCUGAAAGAACUGCCAGUGAUAAGCUGGAGGAAGGUGGGGAUGACGUCAAGUCCUCAUGGCCCUUACGUGUUGGGCUACACACGUGCUACAAUGGUCGGUACAAUGGGUCGCCACCCCAGCGAUGGGGCGCA
rnacentral:rRNA from 1 species